rnacentral:rRNA from 1 species
UACGGGGGGGGCAAGCGUUGUUCGGAAUCACUGGGCAUAAAGGGCGCGUAGGCGGCUUUUCAAGUCAGGGGUGAAAUCCGGCAGCUUAACUGUCGAAGUGCCUUUGAUACUGGGAAGCUCGAGGGAGGUAGGGGUGUGUGGAACUUCCGGUGGAGCGGUGAAAUGCGUUGAUAUCGGAAGGAACGCCGGUGGCGAAAGCGACGCACUGGACCUCUUCUGACGCUGAGGCGCGAAAGCCAGGGGAGCAAACGGG